AGAGCGAGUUCCUGCGCUCGCCGAGGAGUGGGUCCGGAAGCGGCGCCGGAGCGGGUCCGGAAGCGGGCGGUGGAGAAGUCCAGUUGCCCCAAAAUUCUUAGGCAGAAGAGUGACAAGUGAAAAAAGUUCCUAGCGGGAGACGUGCUUGGAACCGGAGAUAAUCUGUGUCUACCGCUGGUCUUCAAGGUGCUUAAUUUCGUGCCCGCUCUACAGGAAAUAACGUGCGCGGCGGAGGAGCCCUGUCCUGGAGAAUAACGCGUGAAGAAGACAGUGGACUGGGCAUUUCGUCCAGAUGAAUGAGCAUGGUAGUUAAGUGUAGAAGGUGACCUUCUUCCCUCUGGAGAGACCAGGGAGGGGGGAACCACCGGAGGAGUUUCUAGCGGUUGCAGCUACUUGAGGUUCCAGUCUAAUAACUACGAACUGUUCAUUUCAAGUAGCAUUAAAGUAGAUUUGCUACAGUAACAAUUACACUUGGCUAAGGAAAAUUUGCAAGGCAACAUGGUCUAUUGCAUAGAGCACUGAGCCACAUGUUAACACUGUAACAAACACUUGCUAUUUUGAAAUUUUACGCUUCAUCUUUUGCAAAUCAGAUGCAGGUGCAGAGUGAAUUAAGAGGAGCUGAAUUAAGAGAGAAGCUUGCAUGCACUGCUGUCAAAACCUAAACACACUGGCUUUUUUUUUUUUAACAGUUCCUUUUUUCAAGGUAUAGAUUCUGGGAAGGUAAGGGAAGAUAAAACAGCUUUUCUUUUUCUCUCCUGUUUUUUUUUUUGUUGUUUUUUUUUUGAGACUAGGUCUCACUCUAUUCCCCAUGCUGGAGUGCAGUGGCACAAUCAUAGCUUACAGUAGCCUCGAACAGCGAUCCUCUUGCCUCAGCCUCCAAAGUAGCUGGGACUACAGGCGCGCGCCACAACACCUGGCCAAGCGUUUCUUCCAGAUCAUUCCUUACUGGGUUGCUGGUUCAGUAAAAAUAAAAAAAUAAAAAAUAAUUUAGAAAUGAGUUCCCAAAUUUCAUUAUGUUCCCAAUGUCAUUUGGAAUCACUGUUUCACUGUUUUCUUAUUUACCCCUGGGUCGUACAUUACUUCACUUAUUUAUAUCUAACAGGAAGCAGAGCUUCUGCUAUAUUUUAGGCUGUAUUCAGUUUUAUACAGAAUACCUUUUUUAGAGCUUGAAGACAAAUGUUUUAGAUUUUGA
rnacentral:lncRNA from 1 species